GAUGAACGCUGGCGGCGUGCCUAAUACAUGCAAGUCGAGCGAACGGACGAGAAGCUUGCUUUUCUGAUGUUAGCGGCGGACGGGUGAGUAACACGUGGAUAACCUACCUAUAAGACUGGGAUAACUUCGGGAAACCGGAGCUAAUACCGGAUAAUAUUUUGAACCGCAUGGUUCAAAAGUGAAAGACGGUCUUGCUGUCACUUAUAGAUGGAUCCGCGCUGCAUUAGCUAGUUGGUAAGGUAACGGCUUACCAAGGCAACGAUGCAUAGCCGACCUGAGAGGGGGAUCGCCCACCCUGGAACUGAGCCACGGUCCAGACUCCUACGGGAGGCAGCAGUAGGGAAUCUUCCGCAAUGGGCGAAAGCCUGACGGAGCAACGCCGCGUGAGUGAUGAAGGUCUUCGGAUCGUAAAACUCUGUUAUUAGGGAAGAACAUAUGUGUAAGUAACUGUGCACAUCUUGACGGUACCUAAUCAGAAAGCCACGGCUAACUACGUG
rnacentral:rRNA from 1 species